rnacentral:rRNA from 1 species
GACGGACCCGCACAAGCGGUGGAUCAUGUUGUUUAAUUCGAUGAUACGCGAAGAACCUUACCAGGUCUUGACAUCCCUUGCAAAGCUAUGGAGACAUAGUGGAGGUUAUCAAGGAGACAGGUGGUGCAUGGUUGUCGUCAGCUCGUGUCGUGAGAUGUUGGGUUAAGUCCCGCAACGAGCGCAACCCCCGCCGUUAGUUGCCAGCGGUUCGGCCGGGCACUCUAACGGGACUGCCCGCGAAAGCGGGAGGAAGGAGGGGACGACGUCUGGUCAGCAUGGCCCUUACGGCCUGGGCGACACACGUGCUACAAUGCCCACUACAAAGCGAUGCCACCCGGCAACGGGGAGCUAAUCGCAAAAAGGUGGGCCCAGUUCGGAUUGGGGUCUGCAACCCGACCCCAUGAAGCCGGAAUCGCUAGUAAUCGCGGAUCAGCCAUGCCGCGGUGAAUACGUUCCCGGGCCUU